UAAUCCGACCUAGGCUCAUCUGAUAGCGCAAGGCCCGAAGGUCCCCUGCUUUCUCCCGUAGGACGUAUGCGGUAUUAGCGUUCCUUUCGAAACGUUGUCCCCCACUACCAGGCAGAUUCCUAGGCAUUACUCACCCGUCCGCCGCUGAAUUCAGGAGCAAGCUCCUGUCAUCCGCUCGACUUGCAUGUGUUAGGCCUGCCGCCAGCGUUCAAUCUGAGCCAGGAUCAAACUCU
rnacentral:rRNA from 1 species